ACGACAUGAACUAAAGACAACCACGCGGGGGACUAGUAGAGAUAUUCAACUGACAGUGUGAUGUGUAAGGUGACAGCAAGCCAGGGGACUAGUAGAGAUAUUCAACUGACAGUGUGAUGUGUAAGGUGAGAAAUGCCGGGGGACUAGUAGAGAUAUUCAACUGACAGUGUGAUGUGUAAGGUGUGAAAUGCCGGGGGACUAGUAGAGAUAUUCAACUGACAGUGUGAUGUGUAAGGUGUGAAAUGCCGGGGGACUAGUAGAGAUAUUCAACUGACAGUGUGAUGUGUAAGGUGAGAAAUGCCGGGGGACUAGUAGAGAUAUUCAACUGACAGUGUGAUGUGUAAGGUGUGAAAUGCCGGGGGACUAGUAGAGAUAUUCAACUGACAGUGUGAUGUGUAAGGUGAGAAAUGCCGGGGGACUAGUAGAGAUAUUCAACUGACAGUGUGAUGUGUAAGGUGAGAAAUGCCGGGGGACUAGUAGAGAUAUUCAACUGACAGUGUGAUGUGUAAGGUGUGAAAUGCCGGGGGACUAGUAGAGAUAUUCAACUGACAGUGUGAUGUGUAAGGUGAGAAAUGCCGGGGGACUAGUAGAGAUAUUCAACUGACAGUGUGAUGUGUAAGGUGACAGCAAGCCAGGGGACUAGUAGAGAUAUUCAACUGACAGUGUGAUGUGUAAGGUGACAGCAAGCCAGGGGACUAGUAGAGAUAUUCAACUGACAGUGUGAUGUGUAAGGUGACAGCAAGCCAGGGGACUAGUAGAGAUAUUCAACUGACAGUGUGAUGUGUAAGGUGAGAAAUGCCGGGGGACUAGUAGAGAUAUUCAACUGACAGUGUGAUGUGUAAGGUGACAGCAAGCCAGGGGACUAGUAGAGAUAUUCAACUGGCAGUGUGAUGUGUAAGGUGACAGCAAGCCAGGGGACUAGUAGAGAUAUUCAACUGACAGUGUGAUGUGUAAGGUGAGAAAUGCCGGGGGACUAGUAGAGAUAUUCAACUGACAGUGUGAUGUGUAAGGUGACAGCAAGCCAGGGGACUAGUAGAGAUAUUCAACUGACAGUGUGAUGUGUAAGGUGAGAAAUGCCGGGGGACUAGUAGAGAUAUUCAACUGACAGUGUGAUGUGUAAGGUGAGAAAUGCCGGGGGACUAGUAGAGAUAUUCAACUGGCAGUGUGAUGUGUAAGGUGAGAAAUGCCGGGGGACUAGUAGAGAUAUUCAACUGGCAGUGUGAUGUGUAAGGUGAGAAAUGCCGGGGGACUAGUAGAGAUAUUCAACUGGCAGUGUGAUGUGUAAGGUGAGAAAUGCCGGGGGACUAGUAGAGAUAUUCAACUGACAGUGUGAUGUGUAAGGUGAGAAAUGCCGGGGGACUAGUAGAGAUAUUCAACUGGCAGUGUGAUGUGUAAGGUGAGAAAUGCCGGGGGACUAGUAGAGAUAUUCAACUGGCAGUGUGAUGUGUAAGGUGAGAAAUGCCGGGGGACUAGUAGAGAUAUUCAACUGGCAGUGUGAUGUGUAAGGUGAGAAAUGCCGGGGGACUAGUAGAGAUAUUCAACUGGCAGUGUGAUGUGUAAGGUGAGAAAUGCCGGGGGACUAGUAGAGAUAUUCAACUGGCAGUGUGAUGUGUAAGGUGAGAAAUGCCGGGGGACUAGUAGAGAUAUUCAACUGGCAGUGUGAU